GCAUGAUAGUUUGUGAUAAACAUUGGAGAAAAUGAAGAAGGGAGGGAACUAGAGCAUAUUAUUAAUGGGGAGAUGAAGUUUGGAUUGCAAUUUUAAACAGAGCAGGAAAAGGUACUCUGUGUAAAGGUAACACUGAAGCAAAACCCUGGAAGUGAGAGGAUGUCAUUUGCAUGUCAAGGGGAAGAGCCUUCCUAUGAGAAACAACACAUGCCAAGACCCUGAGAUGGGGAUGGGGAGCUCAGAAUGCCUGGCAUGUUUGGUGAGUGACAAGGAGGCCACUAUGGUUGCAGCAAGUGUGCAAGAGGGAAUAGAGGCAGGACUGCCUUAUAUGAUGCUUUGCUUGGUGACAUAUGGAGUCAUUUGGGAGUUUUGAGCAAAGGAGUAACAUGCCACUCUGGCCACAAUAUUGAGGAUAGACUGUGAACAAGAGUUAAGAAAGAAGACAAGUUAAAGAUAUUGCUAGAAUUCAUAUUGAGAGAUGGUAGUGACUUGGGCCAUUGCCAUCAUCCCCCAAAAUUGAAGGGACAGAUUAUAAAGGGAAAAGUAAUACACAAAUGCAAUACAGCUUUUGCUGAUAGGAUGUUAGCAUACAGUCUGAUUGUGAUGUGAUUUAUUAUUACCCCCUAGUCCAGAAGUCCAUUGUUUCAUUCAAUGAUUCAAGAAGCAUUCCUGAAACAUCAAUUGAUGCCCGGACUUCUGUUGAGUCCUGGAGACACAAAUAAGAACUCACCUGUGUUUUUCAGAAGCUUACAGUGUAGUAGGUGUAUAAAAUCCGUGAAAAAACUAAUGCAUCAUUAGCACCAAAAUUAACCCCAGCAGUAGUAGUAUAAUUAUGAUGGGAACAUUAGUAAAAACUGUUAACUGUAUACUAUAUGCUGGAUGUGCCUGUGGAUAUUAAGAAGAUGAUAUAUGGCUGUUAUAAUUACUAUAUUUUGAUGUUCUUCUUUAUAACCAAACUAGAGUCUUAUAAAAUUAGAGAACUUGUGGGCUGGGUUUGUGGCUCAGUAGUAGCAUGCUUGCCUAGCAUACCUGAGGCACUGGAUUCGAUUCUUAGCACCACAUACAAAUGAAUGAAAAUAAAGGUCCAUCAAUAACUUAAAAAUAUUUUUAAAAAUAGAGAAUUCAUGACCAAAAACCUAAUAUAAUGAUCUAACACUAUUAUUUUUGUUCUCUAUCACCCAACAGGAUCAAGAAUUUUGCCAUCCUAGAACCUACCUAAGACCCAGCUCAGAAAAUGCAUGUCCCAUUUUUUUCCAAAUAUUGCUAAUAGCCCAGCCUCCCCGACUUGUCAGCUUCUUUAAGUCCUCUUCAUUGCAUGUUCUUUUUUCUUUUAAUUUUCUGUUUGAAGAGGUUAAGCUGAAACCGCUGCUCAGCUCCCAAGAUGGCACCACCCAAAUUGCAUGUACUUUUCUGCCUCUGCAGCUGCCUUGUACUGGUUCAUCCUUUUGACUGGCAACAACUAAAUCCCACUGGGUGUUUGGAA
rnacentral:lncRNA from 1 species